rnacentral:rRNA from 1 species
UACGUAGGGUGCAAGCGUUAAUCGGAAUUACUGGGCGUAAAGCGUGCGCAGGCGGUUUUGGAAGUCAGAUGUGAAAUCCCCGGGCUUAACCUGGGAACUGCGUUUGAAACUACAAGGCUAGAGUGUGGCAGAGGGGGGUGGAAUUCCACGUGUAGCAGUGAAAUGCGUAGAGAUGUGGAGGAACACCGAUGGCGAAGGCAGCCCCCUGGGUUAACACUGACGCUCAGGCACGAAAGCGUGGGGAGCAAACAGG